rnacentral:tRNA from 1 species
CAGGGAGACAACAAAAUGUUUAAUAUUAUUAUUUUGUCACCUUAGGUCGAUCGGUAUCUCACGUUCUUAUUAUUAAGAAUUUCAUUUCCUAAGUUUUUUCUAGGUCACACCCAUUUUUUUCCUGGGCCAUUAGCUCAGGUGGUUAGAGCGCACCCCUGAUAAGGGUGAGGUCCCUGGUUCAAGUCCAGGAUGGCCCAUAUCUCUAUGUUGGGGGUAUAGCUCAGUUGGUAGAGCGCCUGCUUUGCAAGCAGGAUGUCAGCGGUUCGAGUCCGCUUACCUCCACUGAUUACCACCUCUUACAUAAAUUGUAGAAAGGAAAUUUUUUGAGUUGUGAUCAAAUUCUGAACGAAUCUAGCUUCCUAAUGAAAUCAUUAAGAUGCUGGACUCAUUGAAUUAAUUUCAUUGUUUUCAGAGAACCUUGACAACUGCAUAGAUUAUUUUUAAAGACAAUAAGCAUCUUUAAUGAUGCAGAUUUAUUAUUUGUGCAAAUGCAUUAAUAACAAUUCUAUUAAGCUGAUGCUUCAAUUAUGAAGUUAUU